rnacentral:rRNA from 1 species
UACGGGGGGGGCAAGCGUUGUUCGGAAUUACUGGGCGUAAAGGGCUCGUAGGCGGCCAACUAAGUCAGACGUGAAAUCCCUCGGCUUAGCCGGGGAACUGCGUCUGAUACUGGAUGGCUUGAGGUUGGGAGAGGGAUGCGGAAUUCCAGGUGUAGCGGUGAAAUGCGUAGAUAUCUGGAGGAACACCCGUGGCGAAGGCGGCUCUCUGGGACGGUACUGACGCUGAGACGCGAAAGCGUGGGGAGCGAACAGG